CUUCUGCGCUACAAAUGACUUUAAUGAAUUAUGAGUAAAGAACAUGGUUAAAUUAAAUUUUUACAAUUUUGCUUAAAAACAUAAAUAUACAAAUUACAAAACAGUUAUGCUAACUAAUUUUCUAUCCCAUUCAUCAAUCGCUCUUUUCAUUCUAAUAGCUAAAUUUAUCUUUAGAAACCUUUAACGAAUCGGGUAUUUUAUAUUUAAUAUGAAUAUAUCAGCUUAACAGGAAAACCCAUUUUCGCAAAACUACUUCUAUUUUCGUGGUGAAAGAGAUAAACUUAAAAGGAACAUGAGCUAAGUUUGACAUAGAUCUAAAUCAAAUCCACUAGAUUAGUAGCCUAAUAGGCCAACACAAAAUAAGGCCCGCAAGACGAGGGUAAUAUCAGGCUAGUAUAAUAAUAAAGCAAUUAAUCCUAAAAAACAAUUUGCUUUAAUUUUGUGAUUUCUAUAACCAAUACAUAAAUUAUUUGGUCUAACAGAAUACCAUAUACAUUAUAUUUCAUGUCCUUUUUUUUUUUUUUUUUUUUUUUUU